GUAUGCUAAUCUAAUAAAAAAAAUAAUUCACGCAUUUGUGCCAUCAUAAAAUAUUUUAUUUCGUUUACGUAACCCUGUUGCUGCAGUCCAUGUCACUGAUUGGUUUCAAUCCUGAAAAACUAGAACAGUCAAUUGUUAAAUGCAUUUUAGUUGAUUAAACACCUGCAUUAGUGUAAUUUGAUGUAUAACCAACAAUUCAUGUUGAUGCUGCAAAGAAAUGGAAAGAAGUGCAAAGUAACUUUUGUUUAAAAACCUCUAACUUUUAUAGGUGGUUUGAUCUUUUCCUGUUUAUGAAUAAGAAAAAGAACGAUGUAACGCCAUCAUCUCAGUAUGCUACUUUGUAGAACUCACAGUUCUUUAUUUAUGCUGUAAUAACAGUAAGAGUAACACUUGGUAUCUUUAUAUAGUACUUUAAAGAGAGCAAUUCCUGUGUAAUUUUUGCUGUCCCCGUUAGUCUCUGGAAGUGAUUUUCAUCUAUGCUGUAAGCUAUGUUAUUUAUAUUUUUCUGAGGAUAAUUUUUUUUUCCCAAAAGUGUAAAACACACAAACACACACACUCCAAAAUACCCUUAAAGAGGUUUGGUCCCAAAUACCUGAAAGACCACUGCCCGCCUUACAAACCUUCUUGUUAAGAUCAGCAGAGGAGCUGCCAAUUGGUUCUUCCACUGCACUCAGAAGUCUGUGGAGGGGAGGAGGGGAGUGCAGGAGAGAGCCUUCUCCAUGGCGGCCCCUGAAAACCCUCCUCACAAAGUGGCAUUUGGCACCUUCAUGAUGUAAUUUCUGUCACAUGCUGAAGAUGCACCUUUUCAUCCUGGCCUUUGACAAUUUGGCAUGAUAUUUUUGCUUGAUUCGAGCAAGUCCUGGAGUUUGCCAAAUUAUGUCUUAGGAGUAAUUCCAGCUUCAUUUUCUUUAACUAAGGCAACAUUCAUUUCAACCAAAUUCCAUUUUUUUAAUUCAAUUUUAGUUAAAUCUCAAUUUCUAGCUAUAUUAGUCAGCAGACAAAUCAGAUCUAUUUUUUAAUAUGAGGGGAUGCACACCUUUAAUUAAUCCAAAUAAAACCAGCAAUGGAAUUAUGGUUACUAUGAAGUCUAAAGUCGUAUUUAAAAUAUCGUUUACUGUGAUCAAAUUUGCCACAAUUUUUUCACAGUGCCACCAAAGGAGAAUCAUACCUGUAGCGUAAUUUACAUCUCUAGCACACAGCAGAAUAGUUGUGGUGUACUUAAUUUUACAAGCAUAAGGUAUAAGCAGUGCAUCAUUUUUACAUGCCUUUACCAUCUUCCUAUAGAGUUUUUAGAUUAAAACCAGGAACAUUACAUGAAGCUGACUUGUUAGUCCAUCGAGCUCAGGACUGUGGCAAGUCACUCUCCUAGGUAAAGUCUUGUCCAUUCUUCUUACCUGAAGUGGAGACACCAAGAUCACCAGUUUAGUGUGUGGCCCAGGAUUUUCUGCAUGCAGAUGAUAAGCUUUGCCACUGAGCUAUAAAAUAAAGCUAUGAAACACUAAAUGCUAAUAGGGAUAACGGUCUCAUGUUUUGCCUUCCCCACUCCUCGUUAAGUAGCCAUGAGUGAAUUCCCAUCAAGUUGUAUCCAUCAUGAAUCAAAGUAUUUUGCCUGCACUGUGUGCCUGCCCAUCCCUUUCACCACUGGUGCUCCUCAUGUAUACAAGGCCCACAAAUUUGGCCGGGGAGUGGAACCAGUGCAGAGGUGGGCCCAGGAAUUGUCCGCAACCAUUCUAAGUGUAUAUCUUUUGCCCCUGGCUCUAGCUAAAUAGAAAAAAAAGAAACCAAGCAGAUGCCUCAAGUCUGAAUUCUGUUCAUCCCUACUCUGUGUUUACUUGCCCCAUUUAGGAGUUUAUUUUGUACACUUGUUUAUACAAACCAGAGUUGAACAAAGAAUGUCCCUCCAGCCUUUCCAGCUCAUUCAUUCAUUCAUUUAGAAGCAAGAGCAUUCCAGGGCCACCUUUCAGACCUAAACAGGGGCCUCCAGAUUAGAUGUGUGCUUGUGCUGCAAUAGAUACAUUUGCAGAAACAGGCCUGCAAACCAUUGCAUCAAGAAGAAUUUAUAGAACUGAUAGUGUUUGUUUCCAGUAGCCAGCGGACAAAAGUUUCAGUGAAAAUGUAUCAAAAUUGCAUGUGUCCAAGAAAACAGGGUGGGAGAUGAGACAAGAAAUGCAAUCAGCCCCAGGCAAAAUGGCUUGUCAAUGAGAAACCAAAGAUAAGAAGCAUUAAUCUGCCAUGGACAUUGAUUCCAAUCUGCACUGACUGUGUGACUGUCUUAAACUUCAAAAACAUUUGGUUGCCCUUGAUGAAAGAGAUCACUUUUUGGUCUCUUAGUUAGCAAAUUCUUGCAUGCCAUUCCACUUGCAUUGGAGAUAUUGAUCUAAGUGCUUAUAGAACAUUAGUAGAGGCUAAUAGGAAAUCACAUCGUAAUCCCAAUUUAUUCAUUAAACUAAUCCUCUUUCUAUUACUGAUCGCCUUACAUGCUCUCCAUCCCUUAGAAGCUCUACAUUUUGUUUUUCUCCUUGUGUUGUGCUGCAAGACUCAACAGCUUUCUCAUCAGUUGUACUAUUUAGAUUGUAGGCAGAAUCCAAGGAGAUGCUUUAGGUGUGCCUGAAGGCCAGAGCAUGCUCAUAGUGGUGGAUUUGGGGCUUUCAAAUUUCAGCAUUGCCCUGUGUGAUGCUAAAAUUCAGCACACACACACCCCACCUCUCACACUCCGUUCUACAGCAUUGUUUUGGCAGCCCUUGCAGCAUGACACACAGUGCGACCAUACCAGUUGCACUACGCUACCCUUUGAUGCCCAGUGGUGCUUUUUGAAUAACAGUGUGCUGUCUGGGGAUAGUAGACUGCAAGAAUCAUAAGAAAACCCACCUGGCAUGUGAAAAGUAGUUAUCUUUGGAUCCUGGCCCAAAACCAUGAUAAAAAGUAUAACAAAUGGCAACUCAUACUCUUAGUGACUGGUGUUCUUUAAUCUAGAUCUAGAUCUAUGUCUAGUACACUUCAUUCUGUGACUAGGUCUUAAACAAAAAUAUGUUAACAGAACACUUCUAUACAUGUCUACUUGGAAACAAGCUCCUCUGGCCUUGUUAGUAUAUUCAAGCUAACUUGGUGCUGUACAGUACAAAAACUGGUCAUUUUGUUGGACCAUUGCUCUUGCCGUGCCACUGGGAGCUAAGUCCUCGGCAAUUUAAGCCCAGGAUACCUUAAGGACUAUUUUAUCCUGUAUGCCCCUGGUCAAUGAACGAAAUCACCUGGGGAGGCAAUGUUAACGCUCCCUAUCCAUGGACCAGAAGCGUCAACAAGGAGUUGUGUCUUCAGUGGGCCCAACUCUAUGGAACUCUCUCCCUUUUGAAAUCAGGCAGGUAUCAGAUUGAAAUGGUUUAAUGUCAGGAAGCCUUUGCACUACAAGCAAUAAUAAUCUAGUUUUUGGAAACUAGUCUGAAGCCCUGUGAGAAGUUGGAGCUCUAUAGUGACGUGCAACUUUAAGAAGGGGGGAAAGUUUUUGGUAGUUUGGGGCUUUCUUCAUCAUGUGUUCAUAAAACGGCAUGAUGCAAUCUUGUAUUUACGGGGUGCAAGGGCAGUAAAUAAUCCUAGAUCUUAAAGGGCACUCAGCACUGUUACCAAACAUUUAGGGACAAGGCUGACAAAAAUAAUUAGAAUUGUACUUUCUGACAUAGCUAACAAGGACCGAAGCAUGCUUACCAGAAAAUAAAGGGCAUUCAUUUUUAAGAGCAACAUUGUCUCAGCAUCUCUGCUAAUUCACAAAUGACAAGAAGCACACCUUUAGGGAACAGGACAAAACUCUGCUUUUAUGUUACACCAAGAAAGCAGAGUGUUUUCAGAUUCCUUGAAUCACAUAUGCUCCAAACUAAGCAGGGCUUUGGUAAUUUGGCUUGGCAGUUUCUAACUCAUGAUGACAUUUACUUAAGGUAAAAACCACUGGGAAUGAUUGUUGCAUUGAACCCUGUGGGACUAAAUGUCUGCCAGUAAAAGCCUGAUUGCCGAGAAAAAUGGAAAUUGUGGAAUAAUUAUAAUAAUAAAUUUAUUAUUUGUACCCCACCCAUCUAGCUGGGUCUUCCCAGCCACUCUGGGCGGCUGCCAACAAAAGAUUAAAAAUACAUUAAAACAUUAGUCAUCAAAAACUUCCCUAAAUACACAAAAAGCAUACAUUUUCUACAAAAGAGACAUGGAAUCUUAAUGGCUUGUGUCCAGAGGCUGCAGUCCUCUAUGAGGUUCUGCAUGCAUAAUCCCAAAUGACUUCAGUUUGAUUUAACAGAAAUGCAGCUAUACAGUAUUUCAAGCUUAAACUGCAAAGGACUUUGAAUUCUGAGCAAAUCUCCUGCACUUCGAGGCAACCUUUUUUUUGGGCACAAUCUGUAUAACAUUUGACUGAAAGCUUUACAAGAGGAAAUAGUCAAUAUGUUGUCCACUGAGACAAGACUUUCACCAAUUCUGCUUCUCCAGCUUCAGAGAAACACUCACAGAAAACUGAAAUAUGACUCCAGAUUCUGCAUGGGAAAUCACUUUGAGAGGUUUGGGCUGCAAUUCAUGGUCCAUUUGUUCUGAGGAAUCAAAUGAGAUCAUUUCAGGAAGCACUAUGCACAUUUUAAGAUAACAAAUGUUUGGAAAUUGUGUACAUAGCACAUCCUGUAAAUGGCUUCUGAGUACCUAGAACUGAGGAACAGUUUAUAACCAAUGAUAAAAUGCUAGGACUGGCUGUCAGACCCACAGAGGUUUCCAGCUCUUUAAAAUCUUUCAAAUCAAGAUGAAAUCAAUCAAAAUUUUGAACUAAGGGAAAUGAAAAGUAAAGAUGGAAGAAAGCCAGAUGUAGGAACAGGAACGUGUCAGAUAUUGGCUUGUUACCUAUUCUGAUCAUUUGGUUGUGAGGAAAACAUCCAUUCCAAUCUAGAAGAUGCUUUAUAUUUUUGUCAUGCAUAAGGUAAAAUCUCAGCGCCUCAAUCAGAGUCCUCUUCAUCUGCCAAAUUGACCAAAAGGGUGCCACUAGCUGUGGCAGAGCAAAGCAAUUAGCAACUUACUCCAAGGGACUACUGCAUUAGUCACAAUGCAUGGAUGAGAGAAUGGUGUCGGAGGAUGAAUUGGGGUUUGUUUAGGAACUAGGGAACAUUCUGGGACAAAAGGGCUCUAGAACCAGGAUGUAAUGAAAAUAUGAAAUGUUAAACCUAAAAUGUUUUACUGUUGGCAUUUGUAAGCCGCUCUGGGAGCCCUGUCCGGAUGAAGAAUGGUGCCCAAAAUACACACAUGCACGGUUGGAUGAAAGAAGAAUUCUGGCCUCUCAAAUGACAAGUGGAGUGUUUUGUUUUGUUUUAAAGAAGUAGCAGACAAGUGAGUGGUUCUUGCUCUCUUCUGGGUGUGUGGGGGGGGUGUCUGGGAACAGAAAGCAUAUCUAAAAUGCACAGCCCACAAAGUUGUGUGCAGGCCAGUUGGAGAGUAUGGAUGCCCAAAGUUACAUUAAGCUCUUGUUUAUCAGGGCUCUCCAGAAAUUACUGAAAGCUGCUUUCUCUGGCAGAGCUCCAGCAUCACUGGAAAACCCCACUUCAGCACAUCUGUCCUCACUGGCAUAAGCAAAUGGAUCCAGCCCAUUGCUGGUGGAUUACGAUGUCAGUUCUUCUUUCAGUUUUGAAAGGGAAAAAUCCAGCUAACUGUCUUGAGGAUGAAAAGUGAACUUUCAAUGCCUUAUUGUUAUGUUGUCAUACUUCCCACUUCUCAUGGUAACAGCAGAUUCUACUACUGUGUUCAUUUCAGUGUUAACUGUUCCACUUUCUUGCUAUUUCUUGCAAGCCAGACCAGGCGAAUGAAGGCAACCCCUCAGGCAGCUGAUAGAGGAUGUCACACAAGAGCAGCAAAUAGUUGUUUAAUUUAUUAUUGUUGUGUUUCUGCUGUCAUGGGGAGAUGCCCUCGUGGGAUUUUUCUGCCCCAUUUGCCAUAGUAAUUUCACUAGCCCUGGUCACUCUACAGCUGCCCCUCAGGCCACAAAAUGCAGGCUCUGGUUUCAAGGAGCAGAUUCCAUCCCCCUCACCACCACAGGUGAAGAGUUUGUGUGGUCGAUUCCAACCAAACAUUCCAACAGCCUGAAUAAAUGAAUUAAUGAAGAUUUAUGUCAAAUGCUGUAGUCACCAGAUAAACUGCUAUAUUCUGCACUCACUCAAGCAUCCAAACCGCCUUCAAGAGCAAUUCUGAGUAGCAUGCAUUAGAGGAGUCACAUAUGAUUAAGUAUUGCAGUGAGGAAGAAGAAAUAUUUGCAACCAGCUAACAAUUCUGCCCAGAACACAGAAGUGUCUGAAUGAAAUUAC